rnacentral:rRNA from 1 species
AACGAACGCUGGCGGCAUGCCUAACACAUGCAAGUCGAACGAGACCUUCGGGUCUAGUGGCGCACGGGUGCGUAACGCGUGGGAACCUGCCCUUAGGUUCGGAAUAACUCCCCGAAAGGGGUGCUAAUACCGGAUAAUGUCUUCGGACCAAAGAUUUAUCGCCUUUGGAUGGGCCCGCGUUGGAUUAGCUAGUUGGUAGGGUAAAAGCCUACCAAGGCGACGAUCCAUAGCUGGUCUGAGAGGAUGAUCAGCCACACUGGGACUGAGACACGGCCCAGACUCCUACGGGAGGCAGCAGUGGGGAAUAUUGGACAAUGGGCGAAAGGCUGAUCCAGCAAUGCCGCGUGAGUUAUGAAGGCCUUAGGGUUGUAAAGCUCUUUUACCCGGGAUGAUAAUGACAGUACCGGGAGAAUAAGCUCCGGCUAACUCCGUG